rnacentral:rRNA from 1 species
CUUAACACAUGCAAGUCGAGGGGCAGCAUUUCAGUUUGCUUGCAAACUGGAGAUGGCGACCGGCGCACGGGUGAGUAACACGUAUCCAACCUGCCGAUAACUCGGGGAUAGCCUUUCGAAAGAAAGAUUAAUACCCGAUGGUAUAAUCAGACCGCAUGGUCUUGUUAUUAAAGAAUUUCGGUUAUCGAUGGGGAUGCGUUCCAUUAGGCAGUUGGUGAGGUAACGGCUCACCAAACCUUCGAUGGAUAGGGGUUCUGAGAGGAAGGUCCCCCACAUUGGAACUGAGACACGGUCCAAGCUCCUACGGGAGGCAGCAGUGAGGAAUAUUGGUCAAUGGGCGCAGGCCUGAACCAGCCAAGUAGCGUGAAGGAUGACUGCCCUAUGGGUUGUAAACUUCUUUUAUAUGGGAAUAAAGUUUUCCACGUGUGGAAUUUUGUAUGUACCAUAUGAAUAAGGAUCGGCUAACUCCGUGCCAGCAGCCGCGGUAAUACGGAGGAUCCGAGCGUUAUCCGGAUUUAUUGGGUUUAAAGGGAGCGUAGGUGGACAGUUAAGUCAGUUGUGAAAGUUUGCGGCUCAACCGUAAAAUUGCAGUUGAUACUGGCUGUCUUGAGUACAGUAGAGGUGGGCGGAAUUCGUGGUGUAGCGGUGAAAUGCUUAGAUAUCACGAAGAACUCCGAUUGCGAAGGCAGCUCACUGGACUGCAACUGACACUGAUGCUCGAAAGUGUGGGUAUCAAACAGGAUUAGAUACCCUGGUAGUCCACACAGUAAACGAUGAAUACUCGCUGUUUGCGAUAUACAGUAAGCGGCCAAGCGAAAGCAUUAAGUAUUCCACCUGGGGAGUACGCCGGCAACGGUGAAACUCAAAGGAAUUGACGGGGGCCCGCACAAGCGGAGGAACAUGUGGUUUAAUUCGAUGAUACGCGAGGAACCUUACCCGGGCUUAAAUUGCAUUUGAAUAUAUUGGAAACAGUAUAGCCGUAAGGCAAAUGUGAAGGUGCUGCAUGGUUGUCGUCAGCUCGUGCCGUGAGGUGUCGGCUUAAGUGCCAUAACGAGCGCAACCCUUAUCUUUAGUUACUAACAGGUCAUGCUGAGGACUCUAGAGAGACUGCCGUCGUAAGAUGUGAGGAAGGUGGGGAUGACGUCAAAUCAGCACGGCCCUUACGUCCGGGGCUACACACGUGUUACAAUGGGGGGUACAGAAGGCAGCUACCUGGUGACAGGAUGCUAAUCCCAAAAGCCUCUCUCAGUUCGGAUCGAAGUCUGCAACCCGACUUCGUGAAGCUGGAUUCGCUAGUAAUCGCGCAUCAGCCAUGGCGCGGUGAAUACGUUCCCGGGCCUUGUACACACCGCCCGUCAAGCCAUGAAAGCCGGGGGUACCUGAAGUACGUAACCGCAAGGAGCGUCCUAGGGUAAAACUGGUAAUUGGGGC